rnacentral:rRNA from 1 species
GGGCCCGAGUUUGAUCAUGGCUCAGGACGAACGCUGGCGGCGUGCUUAACACAUGCAAGUCGAACGCAUGCAUCCCUUCGGGGAUGUGAUGAGUGGCGAACGGGUGAGUAACACGUGAGCAACCUACCCUUGACUCUGGAAUAACAGCUGGAAACAGCUGCUAAUACCGGAUAUGACUCUUCUCGACAUCGGGAGGGGUGGAAAGUUCUGGCGGUCAAGGAUGGGCUCGCGGCCUACCAGCUAGUUGGUGAGGUAACGGCUCACCAAGGCUUCGACGGGUAGCCGGCCUGAGAGGGCGACCGGCCACACUGGGACUGAGACACGGCCCAGACUCCUACGGGAGGCAGCAGUGGGGAAUAUUGCACAAUGGGCGAAAGCCUGAUGCAGCGACGCCGCGUGAGGGAUGAAGGCCUUCGGGUUGUAAACCUCUUUCGACCCUGACGAAGCGCAAGUGACGGUAGGGGGAGAAGAAGCACCGGCCAACUACGUGCCAGCAGCCGCGGUUAGCU